UGAGGAACAUGACUUUCGGCGGGGGAUAGCCGGCCCAACGGCCGGGUAAUACCGCGUACGACCUUUUGGGGACAUCCCCGAUUGGUGAAAGCAGCAAUGCGCCGAAAGAGUGCCUCGCGGCCUAUCAGCUAGUUGGUGGGGUAAUGGCUCACCAAGGCGACGACGGGUAGCUGGUCUGAGAGGAUGGCCAGCCACAUUGGGACUGAGACACGGCCCAGACUCCGUACGGGAGCAG
rnacentral:rRNA from 1 species